GGGAUAUGUCGUCUCCCAGUAAAAGUUACAGACGGGGGCGAGAAGGCGAGGAAUAGAACAGACGAAGGAAGAGGAGAAGGAUGAACGCUCCGGAUCGUUACGAGCGCUUCGUCGUGCCCGAGGGCACCAAGAAAACAUCUUCACUGGCCGAUUGGACUCUCGAUGAACUUGUUAUGUGCGAGAUUUAUCAUCGAUUCUUUGGUGUCUUAAUCCCGUACUAUUUCUUCUGUGGGGAGAAAAUUUUAGGGUUUCGUAUGAGAGGGACACCAAGAUCGUCAAUGCGGCCUCCUUCACUGUUGAGCGCGAAGAUCACACGAUGGGAAACAUCCUCCGAAUGUCCACACACACUACCUUCUGCCGCUCUCCUUUUUUCUUUCUCUGAAAACCAAAAAAAAGUUGUCUUUCAUGGAAUUUUGUUUCGUUUUUGAUAUAUAAAUAUAUAUUGGACGCUUAUAUUGUGCCUGCAGGCAGCUGCAUAGAGACCCCAAUGUUCUCUUCGCAGGCUACAAGCUUCCGCAUCCCCUCCAGUACAAGAUCAUAGUUAGGGUAAGCAUUUCACUCGAUUUUCUACUUAACAUGUCCUUGUGGCCCACAGAUCCAAACGACCAGCCAGUCUUCCCCGACACAGGCCUAUAGUCAGGCAAUCGACGACCUAGACAAGGAGCUUGACUAUCUGAAGAAGGGUUUUGAGGAUGAGAAGACCAGGUUUGAAGAAAAGCUAAGGCAGGGCUAUUAGGUCUAUUGU